rnacentral:rRNA from 1 species
GACGAACGCUGGCGGCGUGCUUAACACAUGCAAGUCGAACGGAAAGGCCCUGCUUUUGUGGGGUGCUCGAGUGGCGAACGGGUGAGUAACACGUGAGUAACCUGCCCUUGACUUUGGGAUAACUUCAGGAAACUGGGGCUAAUACCGGAUAGGAGCUCCUGCUGCAUGGUGGGGGUUGGAAAGUUUCGGCGGUUGGGGAUGGACUCGCGGCUUAUCAGCUUGUUGGUGGGGUAGUGGCUUACCAAGGCUUUGACGGGUAGCCGGCCUGAGAGGGUGACCAGCCGCAUUAGGACUGUGAUGCAGCCCAGAGUGGUGCGGAAGGCAGCAGGGGCGAAUAUUGGACACUGGGCGGAAGCGUGAGGCAGCAACGCCGCGGGCGUGAUGAGGGCCUUCGGGUUGUAAACCGCGUUGGCCGGUGACGAAGCGUGGUUGACGGUAAAGGGAAAGGAAGCGCCGGCGAGAUACGUG